UGGGGAAUUUUGGACAAUGGGCGAAAGCCUGAUCCAGCAAUGCCGCGUGUGUGAAGAAGGCCUUCGGGUUGUAAAGCACUUUUGUCCGGAAAGAAAUCCUUGGCUCUAAUACAGUCGGGGGAUGACGGUACCGGAAGAAUAAGCACCGGCUAACUACGUGCCAGCAGCCGCGGUAAUACGUAGGGUGCAAGCGUUAAUCGGAAUUACUGGGCGUAAAGCGUGCGCAGGCGGUUUGCUAAGACCGAUGUGAAAUCCCCGGGCUCAACCUGGGAACUGCAUUGGUGACUGGCAGGCUAGAGUAUGGCAGAGGGGGGUAGAAUUCCACGUGUAGUAGUGAAAUGCGUAGAGAUGUGGAGGAAUACCGAUGGCGAAGGCAGCCCCCUGGGCCAAUACUGACGCUCAUGCACGAAAGCGUGGGGAGCAAACAGGAUUAGAUACCCUGGUAGUCCACGCCCUAAACGAUGUCAACUAGUUGUUGGGGAUUCAUUUCCUUAGUAACGUAGCUAACGCGUGAAGUUGACCGCCUGGGGAGUACGGUCGCAAGAUUAAAACUCAAAUGAAUUGACGGGGUCAUAGCUGUUUCCU
rnacentral:rRNA from 1 species